rnacentral:rRNA from 1 species
GAAAUGCGAUAAGUAAUGUGAAUUGCAGAAUUCAGUGAAUCAUCGAAUCUUUGAACGCACCUUGCACCCUUUGGUAUUCCAAAGGGUAUGCCCGUUUGAGUGUCAUUAUACUCUCACACUCUCUAAUUAGUUAGAGAGCGGUGGAUUUGGAUGCUGCCUGGUACUUACUGUCAGGCUCAUCUUAAAUAAAUUAGUGCGACUCUUAGUUAAACAUAGUACGGCGUGAUAAGUAACCCUCGCUGUUUUCUGUCUGAUUAGGAGCUGUGCUUCAACCCGUCUCAGGACAAUAUUUGAUAACUUGACCUCAAAUCGAGUAGGAUUACCCGCUGAACUUAAGCAUAUCAAUAAGCGGAGGAAAAGAAACUAACAAGGAUUCCCCUAGUAACCUGAGACUCCAAGGCACACAGGGGGAUA